GCACCUCGGCCCCGGGCGCGUCCUGGUCGCUGUCGCCCGUCGCCCUGACCGCGGGCGCGUCCUGACCGCGGGAGAGUGGUCUUCUUCCUCAGCGCAACCGCUCUCAGCGCAACCGCUCGGUCAGCCACUCAGCCCCACUCUCGCAUCCUCCCUCCCCACGACCUCCACUUCCUUGGCGCUGGAUGAUGUCGCUAUAUGGUGCCGCGUCCGAGUCCGUUCCUGUCUCUUUCACCCCAAAUCCGCACGCAGUCCGCCACGGCAACAGCGCGCUUCCUGUCCUGCAUCGGGAGCCGGAGGACCUCGCCUACUCCCUCCCUCCAUCGGCGCCCGGAACAGCGCUGCCGCCACGCCGGUGCUGCCCAACGUGUACAGCGCGCUGCUCUGCUUUGACCGCCUCUCCGAGCUCUCCUCUGCCAUUGACGAGUUCUCAAGUGGGUAUCAACAAGACUGCGCGCGUGCCGGAGAACGAGGACGACUGAAAUCACAUAGAGGAAACUCGAAUACAAUAGUGGCUCUUGCUGGGAACAAGGCUGAUGUGUUAGAUACGAGGCAGGUGUCAGCAGAUAAGUUUGAACUUGAUUUGUGUUGCUGAGUGGUGCUUGCUGGACAUUGCUGGAUUUUUAGAUCCUAUAAGAACAAUGGCAUUAGGUAGACGUACUCAAAAUAGGACGGUGGCAGGCCUGUCUCCCUUUCCUCCUUUCGUGCUAUUUGACGAUAUUCAAGAUGUCAAUAACUUACCACAAGUCAAAAGUGUCUUUGCGAGAGUAGUUGUUAAGUUCCCUAGGCGUCGUAAUAGUCAACACUACAUCCUACAGGACAUCACUGGAUCCAAAAUCGAAGCAAUUUCUAACGGCAAUAAUGUCCAACGGUUCGAUGCCUUACUCACACAAGGAUGCACAUAUACAUUGUAUAGAGUGGCAUUUUGUCUAAACCGGGAGGAACUUCAAUUUCGCAAUAUUGGUCAUGGGCUAGAGUUGGGAUUGAUAACACAUACUAUUGUGGAUCCAUUCACGAAGCCAAUCCAAUUUCCUCCAUUUCCAAAGUAUCUUAUGCCAUUUCAUGAGGUUUACCAACAACCGCAUAAGACAUUCGUAGAUGUUAUUGGCAUAGUUCUUCAUUUGGAACCAUUAAAGCAUAUCGGUGGAAGACCGUAUAGAGAAGCUGUACUAAUGGAUUCUAGGUGGGAUCUAAUCAUCGUGGGGGUAUGGACUGACCUCUUGCAAAGAAAUGCUCUACGAUGGUCGUUAGCUAGAGUUGACAAGAACAUAAUUAUUGGAACUUUGCUGCGUUGUAACCAUAAGCACAGUAAUUUCUUCUGUGCCUAACAUCUUUCAAUAUAUACUUAAUUCUUACUCUUAUUAAUAAUUAUAUACUAUUAUUUUAUAACAAUAGGGUGCUUGGAAACCUCGGACCACAGCACUAUUCAUUUCAACCCGGAUCAUCACACUAAAUACCGCUUGAAGACAAUUCGUCGUUCGUUGAUUGACAAUCCAAGGAGUCGUUUCAUCGACAAAUUUCUAGAGAACAGACGAGCACAUUUGGCGACUGUAACAUCGGAUUGAGACAUGUGUUCUAGCUUGUUAUAGUAGAAUACUUUGUUAGUCAUGUAUCAGAUGAAACUUAUUAAUAAUGAUUUGUGUUCUGUUUUUA